UCUUACAUCCAUCUCCUAACACACACAAGACAAAACAAAAAGGGCGCCCGGAGAGAUCAGCUCAUCUCCUGCCUACGUACCUCAUCUGGUAUGAGGAUCAGGGCGACGUAGUUCCCCUACGCAGGGACAAAGGACUAGCCUAACCAGAUACAAAGGGAGACACAACUAGGGAGACUACGACUCGAGCCUAGAUGUUAUCAUGCAAAUCAUCCCUAAGUUAAGGUUGCUAUCUAACUUGCACAGGGAGCAAGCUGAACCUAACAA
rnacentral:lncRNA from 1 species